AGUGAACGCUGGCGGUAGGCCUAACACAUGCAAGUCGAACGGCAGCACAGUAAGAGCUUGCUCUUACGGGUGGCGAGUGGCGGACGGGUGAGGAAUACAUCGGAAUCUACUUUUUCGUGGGGGAUAACGUAGGGAAACUUACGCUAAUACCGCAUACGACCUACGGGUGAAAGCAGGGGAUCUUCGGACCUUGCGCGAUUGAAUGAGCCGAUGUCGGAUUAGCUAGUUGGCGGGGUAAAGGCCCACCAAGGCGACGAUCCGUAGCUGGUCUGAGAGGACGAUCAGCCACACUGGAACUGAGGCACGGUCCAGACUCCUACGGGAGGCAGCAGUGGGGAAUAUUGGACAAUGGGCGCAAGCCUGAUCCAGCCAUACCGCGUGGGUGAAGAAGGCCUUCGGGUUGUAAAGCCCUUUUGUUGGGAAAGAAAAGCAGCAGGUUAAUACCCCGCUGUUCUGACGGUACCCAAAGAAUAAGCACCGGCUAACUUCGUG
rnacentral:rRNA from 1 species